rnacentral:tRNA from 1 species
UCCCUGGUGGCUUAGACGGUAAAGCGUCUGCCUGCAAUGCGGGAGACCGGGGUUCGGUUCCUGGGUUGGGAA